rnacentral:rRNA from 1 species
UACAGAGGGUGCGAGCGUUGUCCGGAAUCACUGGGCGUAAAGGGCGCGUAGGUGGCGACCCAAGUCGAUGGUGAAAGCUCGCCGCUCAACGGCGAGUCGGCCACCGAUACUGGGUUGCUGGAGCACUGUAGAGGCAGAUGGAAUUCCGGGAUGUAGCGGUGGAAUGCGUAGAGAUCCGGAAGAACACCGGUGGCGAAGGCGGCUCACUGGCUCGUAUCUGACGCUCAGGCGCGACAGCGUGGGGAUCAAACAGG